UACGUAGGGGGCUAGCGUUGUCCGGAAUCAUUGGGCGUAAAGCGCGUGUAGGCGGUUCGGUAAGUCCGCUGUGAAAGUCGGGGGCUCAACCCUCGAAUGCCGGUGGAUACUGUCGGACUAGAGUACGGAAGAGGCGAGUGGAAUUCCUGGUGUAGCGGUGAAAUGCGCAGAUAUCAGGAGGAACACCAAUUGCGAAGGCAGCUCGCUGGGACGUUACUGACGCUGAGACGCGAAAAGCGUGGGGGAGCAAACAGG
rnacentral:rRNA from 1 species